AUUGGGCUAGUCACUUGAAGUUACCCAAACACUGGCACUGACUUGACAUUUUCAGAUACAGUAAGUGCUACUUGUUGGGGUAAUUUUAUUGA
rnacentral:pre_miRNA from 13 species